rnacentral:lncRNA from 1 species
ACCGUUGAGGGAUUUUAUAUAUAUAAAGUCACUUUCAUUUGAACUUUCUGCUUUUGCAUUUAUCAUUCUCCUCUGCAACAGAAGGUUCUGCCUCAAUGUUGAGAGCUUCAAAGUUUCUCUGCUCUUCGCAUCAUUCCUAGCUCCAGGUCGAGUUUCCAUUCAUUCAUCUUAGGUUUUUCUUCUUUUUCUUCUAGGUUCUUUCAUUUUCAAUGGCAAGUAAAAGUAAGAAAACGAAGGCUUCAUCUUCUCGAGAUAGUCAG